GUCUCUGUGGCGCAAUUGGUUAGCACGUUCGGCUCUUAACCAAAAGGUUGGUGGUUCGAGCUCACCCAGGGAGA
rfam:Loxodonta africana unplaced genomic scaffold scaffold_56, whole genome shotgun sequence.